rnacentral:lncRNA from 1 species
GCCUGAGGAGGGGUAGGGGGCGGUGGCCCCGGGUUCUAGCCCGCCUGUCCUCGGCCCCCACUUCUGGAAUGAGCCUGCCCGCCCCCUGACUCUCAGGCCACAGCUCCGGCCACAGCUCUGGCUCCUGCUCCGCGGCGGAUCCCACAAACCCGGCAGCCACGGCGGUGGCGGUGGCGGUGGCGGUGGCGGUGGCGGCGGCGGCGGCGGCGGCAGCGGCAGGCGGCAUCCCAGGGUGAUAGGCUGAAGCAAUCGAGGGCCGAGAGCCCGGCCGCGUGUGCACUCGAGUAACGAAGCCGGGGAGGGACUGCGCCGCAGGCAGGAAAAGUCGGACACCGAAUUAUUCAUCCGGCCUGUCCCGCCUACUUUCCAAGUACCCUCCCAGGGAUAGCCGGGUAUUGAGCGGUCCGGGUCUCUGCUGCUCAAAAGAUCGAAGAAGCUGCUUUAUCUUACAGUCACCCAAGGGGGAGCGCCUUCUUCCUUCCCAGAGUGGAGUGGCAGUGGGUCCGGGAUUCUGGGAUAUGCACAGGGUCUGCGCCCUGCGCCCUGUCCGCGCUGAAGCUGAACUUGUCAUUGGUUUGCAACAGCAUGGUGAAGAAGUGUGGUGUGGAUGGACGGACGGGCCUCUCAGGCACAUGAAAUACUCAAAGCCCAGUAUUAACCAAACAUGUUUCUCUGUUUUGUCUUUGAUCUUUGUGCAGUGUGUUGGCUUUUUUCCUUUAAUGAUGUCACUUGUAUUUUAUUUUUGGUUUAUUUGUAGACUGUCUCCCUCCUUGGCCAUGGCUUUACUUUUAUGUCCACCCAAGGAGAGUUUCACCAGUUUAGGUUUAAGAAAUUACUGACAAGUUAACAAUAAUAAUUUCAAAAUUGAACAGUAAUAACUUAAACCGUGCCUUGGACAUAGUAGAUCUCCAACAGUUUUUCUUGAAUGUGGCUACCUAAUGUGGAACAAGAUUUUUCAUAAUUACAUGUUGCUAUUUUUAAUA